rnacentral:lncRNA from 12 species
CCCCCCCCCCCCCCCCCCCCCCCCCCCCCCCCCCCCCCCCCCCCCCCCCCCCCCCCCCCCCCCCCCCCCCCGCGGGCCCGGCCGAAACUCGGGAGUCCCCGCCCCGAGCGGGGCCGGCCGGGGAGGGGCCGGGGUGCCCCGGCCCGUCCCGGCCCGGCGGGGGCUGCGGGACGCAGCGGUGCUCGCCCGCCGGCUGCCCGAGGGAUGGAUGCUCCGCGCCUCGGAACGAGCUGUGCAGCCACAGCCUGGAGCAGAGCCAGAGCUGGCUGCUGCUGGGGCAGCAGGUCAGAGAGGAGCACUGGCAGAAGUGCAGCGUGCCAGCAGCCAAGCAACCCGACUGGCUGGCAGCAAGACAGGGGAGCUGCAUGAAGGAAGAUAAAGAGGGAUCAAUGAUCUGUCUGGAGAAGUGGAAUUUCAGUGCAGCCCCAAGCACAGAUGCACUGGCAGUUUCAGCAAAAACCUCAAAUACUUGAAUCCAGCCACUCUUCUUGUCAUCACUGAGCUGUACCUGUAAGUGCUGACCUUGUACAAAAUAUUCCCUUCAUUUUCCUAGAAAGCUGAUAAGCCCCAGUUUGUGGGCACAAUAGGAGUGGUCUUGAUAAAGAACAGUUCACUAAUUUAAAUCAGUGUUUUCAUUUUCCUUUUGUGUUUUAACAAACAAUUUAAUUUCUUGUGCUUCCUCCCCACCUCCCUGCCCUGCAAUUUCUUAUGAAUGUAAAAAACACAAUGGAGGGUUUCUAAAGAUAGAGAAUAAAAGAAGAAUGGUAGAGAGCGAUCUCAGGAAAUCUCUGGGACAAUGAGAAAUCUUAUCAGGCUUAGCACGAGAAUCAGUAAGAAUUAAGAUAGCCCCUUAAACAGUCUCACUUCUUAAUUUUAACAAGUGUAUUAUAAAUCAAUUCUUCCCCCAGGAACCAGCUGCAAAGAUAUGUGUGUGAGCAAAGCCUGUUGAGAAGAAGAGCAAAUUAAAAUUUUAGCAUAAUGCAUGAAACUCCAUUCCAGCAGGAGGAUGAGCCUUUUCGAGGUGAUUGCUGGGAAAUACAGCUUCUGCAAAGUUUCAUAUCUUUCUCAAAACAUGCUCUCUCUUUGAGUCAGGCUGCAAAUAACCUCCCCUCCUUGCUCUCCUAAAGCAAGAUGGAUGGUGUUAGAGGAACAUUCAUCAAGCUGGAUCCAGCUGAGCACAAACUGCUGCCAUGAAACGCAAGGAGUAACUGGAGCAGCGACUCUGAAUGGGAGCAUGCAAUUUCUGCUGAGAACAGUGAGCUUCGUGCCCUGAUAACCAAAAUCAGACAUUGGUUUUACAGUAUCUACUUUUUAUAUAGGUACCACAGAGUUACAGCCCCUUCAGUUUCUCCAGGAAAAGUCUUUAAAACUGUUAAAAUUCCUCUCUUAUUUACAAAUUUGUAGAUUUACUAAUUUUUAGCACUGUGCUUUUGUAGUAAGAGCGCAGUGCUAAACCUCUGGAAGGAAAAAGUUUAACACAAAUGAAAUUUCAUUGUUUCAGUGCUAUCUUUGCUGCUUACAGAUUACCUCUUUCCUGGGAUACUGUUGGUAGUGAAAUCUCUCCUUUGCAGCAGUUAUUUAAUGUUUCUCUCUCUUACAGCCAUGAAAAUGGAACUGAAAACUUCAAACACCUUGCCUACCCCAUUCAACUUCUGCCUCCACCCACUGUCAGGGCUUCUGUUUAUCUUCUGGUUAGUUAAAACGUCUGCCCCAGACCCUGUGCAAAAUUAAACCCCAGGCAGGAAAAACGCCACUAGGAUUCCCUAUGAUUCUCCAAGGGCUGCUGAUACAAGUCAAACAUUCCUCCUAUAAAAUUAGUAGAUGAAUAGAAACACUCUUUUUGACUCUGUGCUCUGGACUUGAUAUGAGCUACUUUCCAAAAUCUACAGGACAGAGCAAAGGAAGAGUUUUUCCCCUCUCCUUCCUCCUACACUCCUGACUAAUGCUUCAAAAAUCAGAGUGACGCUGUUCCGUGCACUUGAAAACAGAGAUGUUCUGUGUAGAAUUUCACAGGCACGGCGUGUCCUUCCCACAGAAGAUGUGUGUGCCUCAGAUCCUGAGUCUGUGGCAGUCAGAGCUUUGGUCCAGACCCGGUUUAUUGCCUUGCACUUUUAUGUGAAAAAGCUCUGCCAUAGCCCUGAGGAACAUGGAAUUAAAAGUCUGUAGCUCCCUGGGUGACUUCUUGGUGAUGGCUUUUGUGCAAGCCUGGUUUCAGUUCUGUUCCUUAAAACUGCAGCUCAAAAUCCUGGAAGUAUUUCUUUAUGCACCGAGUGACAGACCUCUGUGGAGCCUCCACACAGCUCUGCCAGGGAGCUACAGCCCUUACUCCUUCCCAUGCCUUAAACCCCACUGAAAACUGCGAAAGGAUCUCUUUGUGUUAUCUUCUAAAUGUUAGCAACAGAGAAGGAAAUUUGCCAUAUUGGUCUAUUACCCACUUACCGCUGCUGAGAAAUAUAUGUCUGAACAGCUGUCAAGGCAAAAGCUCAGCUGUGUGAAUCAUUAAAACUGCUUCUCAGCUCGCCACUGGUAAGUUUGAAGAUCACAAUGAAAAAAUAUGUCUUCAUGCAGUCUCCCAUUAGCCCUCCUCAAGCUCGUGGGCCAUUUAGGCAGCUUAACACAAGAUUGAUCUUGCUGUUGAGCAGCACAGCACAAAGCACAGGCAGAAGCUGUCUUUCCCUCCAGCUACAGGGGGAAUUGAACAGCAUUGCCAUGCUCCAGAUUUGACAAAGGAUAAUUAUUGGUUGAUAAUUAUUGGCCUGGAGAGGGGACUGUAGCUCAAGGUUUACGUGUGAGUCACGCCCUUGUGUGUUUGCACACAUACACUGUGCACACACAUUCACUGCAGGAAUGAGAAGAUGAAUGAGAUGGCCCUUUGGGAGAAGAUGCUCUGCAGCUCUCUGCUACUCCUGGACCUCAACUUCAUUUAUUUAACCCCAAUCCUUGGGUUUAGCUGUGUUUCAGUCCUGGAGCAGAAAACCAGUGCUUUUACAGUCUGCCUUUUACUAAAUUGUCUAAUCAUUCUGAACAAGCAAAAGUCUGCCUGCUUUUUCAAAUAAGGGCUGGAAAUUUUAUUGAAGAGCUAUUAGUAUAAAAAUUGAAAAUGUGGCGCCAUUGUAAAAAGAAGACAUUCCAGUUUACAGGAAUUAAGUAGUGAUGGCUCACAUGGAGUUCACAUACCGUUGCAUGAAGAUUUUUGUGAUAUCAACUCAUUAUCUGAUUUCCCCUGUAUCUAUACUGUAAUCCUAGGCAGAUGUCCAUCUUUGCUUAGAAAUUACCCUGUGUUUCUACUAAAAAUCCUAUUUUCUGUAUGUUUUAAAGAUUACCUUAGUGUUCUUCUGGCUUCAGCUCUCUGCCUCUUUUUGGAUGCAAUAAAUUUGACUUAUAUUUUUACACUUCUAAGCACGAGGAUGAAUAUCUUUCAUUAAAAAGUGUAAUUUGGCAUAGGGAUUAAUCUAUACUUGUCAGAAUUUGACAAAACACCACAGCUGGAGUAGUAAUGAUGGCUUUAAGAAAUUUUAUAAGCCUUUUUAUUACAUGUUUUUAAUGGGCUUACAUAGAACAGUACAAAUGCCAAAGUAUUUAUGUAGGGGAUGGCAACAGUGCUGGAACAAUCGAGCAGACGUCAUGGAGAGAGACCUUCCUUCAUCUGCAAUCACUCAGGGAAAAGGGAUCUCCAAGAGGGGAUGAGGUGCAAGCCAAAGCACUGGGCCUGACAAGGAGAAGAACAGUAGCGAAAUGUUUCAGGUAGAAGAUUCACAAACAAAUUAAGACCCAUAAUUAAUGUGCUAUGCUCUUUUUCUAUGGUCUGUCUAUCAAUGUUGUUUGAUACAUUGGUGUGUCUGUACGAUUUAUGCGUCAUUAAAGGCGUUAGAAAACAAUCAAAGCCAGAGUGGCUGGCAGCACCCUUGAGACCUGAUGGGUGACAAGCAGCUUUCCUAGAAUAGGAGGCUUUCCAAAAUAUUCUGGACCAGUAUGCAGGCUAAUUUAAUAAUAUGGAUCCACCUUAAAUAAAGGUUUCAUCCACGUUCUGGAAAGCAUCUCAUUUUUUUCAGGGCACUAAAUUCAGUCUUUAUCUGUAACAAGAAGGUUGUUUUUCUGAACUAUUACUGUGUGGUCAGCCAGUCCUCUCCUCCAUCUGGUUACAUUUUGAAGUCUUAGAUACAAUCCUAACGAGGAGGCAAGA